UGAGGAACAUGACCUUCGGCGGGGGAUAGCCGGCCCAACGGCCGGGUAAUACCGCGUACGACCACAUGGGGACAUCCCUGAGUGGUGAAAGCAGCAAUGCGCCGAUGGAGUGCCUCGCGGCCUAUCAGCUAGUUGGUGAGGUAACGGCUCACCAAGGCGACGACGGGUAGCUGGUCUGAGAGGAUGGCCAGCCACAUUGGGACUGAGACACGGCCCAGACUNUACCGGGAGG
rnacentral:rRNA from 1 species